AACGGGUGAGUAACGCGUGAGGAACCUGCCUCAAAGAGGGGGACAACAGUUGGAAACGACUGCUAAUACCGCAUAAGCCCACGGUGCCGCAUGGCACAGAGGGAAAAGGAGCAAUCCGCUUUGAGAUGGCCUCGCGUCCGAUUAGCUAGUUGGUGAGGUAACGGCCCACCAAAGCGACGAUCGGUAGCCGGACUGAGAGGUUGAACGGCCACAUUGGGACUGAGACACGGCCCAGACUCCUACGGGAGGCAGCAUG
rnacentral:rRNA from 1 species